rnacentral:rRNA from 1 species
UCGAACGGGCCUGGCAACAGGUCAGUGGCGCAAGGGUGAGUAAGGCGACGGUAACCAACCCCAUGGUCGGGUAUAGCCGCGGGAAACUGCGGGUAAUCCCCAGCGAUGUACGAGGCCGGCAUCGGCGUUGUACCAAAGCUCCGGCGCCGUGGGACGGGCCGUUGUGGUAUUAGGUAGUUGGCGGGGUAACGGCCCACCAAGCCUCUGAUGCCUACCGGGCGUGCGAGCGUGGCCCGGCACACUGGGACUGAGACACUGCCCAGACUCCUACGGGAGGCUGCAGUCGAGAAUCUUCGGCAAUGGGCGCAAGCCUGACCGAGCGACGCCGCGUGGAGGAUGAAGGCCUUCGGGUUGUAAACUCCUGUCGAGGGGGAGGAAGGGGCAACCUUGACCGAUCCCUGGAGGAAGCACGGGCUAAGUUCGUGCCAGCAGCCGCGGUAAGACGAACCGUGCGAACGUUAUUCGGAAUCACUGGGCUUAAAGCGCGUGUAGGCGGAUGGGAACGUCGGUCUUUGAAAGCCCCCGGCUCAACCGGGGAAGCGGAGCCGAAACGACCGAUCUGGAGGGACGUAGGGGGACCUGGAACUUCCGGUGGAGCGGUGAAAUGCGUUGAGAUCGGAAGGAACGCCCGUGGCGAAAGCGAGGUCCUGGACGUCUGCUGACGCUGAGACGCGAAAGCUAGGGGAGCAAACGGGAUUAGAUACCCCGGUAGUCCUAGCCGUAAACGAUGGGCACUGGGU